rnacentral:rRNA from 1 species
UAAGGCCAUACCACUCUGAACGCCCCGAUCUCGUCUGAUCUCGGAAGCUAAGCAGGGUCGGGCCUGGUUAGGACUUGGAUGGGAGAACCCAAGGUAAGGCCUCUC